ACGAACGCUGGCGGCAUGCCUAACACAUGCAAGUCGCACGAGACCUUCGGGUCUAGUGGCGCACGGGUGCGUAACGCGUGGGAACCUGCCCUUAGGUUCGGAAUAACUCCCCGAAAGGGGUGCUAAUACCGGAUAAUGUCUUCGGACCAAAGAUUUAUCGCCUUUGGAUGGGCCCGCGUUGGAUUAGCUAGUUGGUAGGGUAAAAGCCUACCAAGGCGACGAUCUAUAGCUGGUCUGAGAGGAUGAUCAGCCACACUGGGACUGAGACACGGCCCAGACUCCUACGGGAGGCAGCAGUGGGGAAUAUUGGACAAUGGGCGAAAGCCUGAUCCAGCAAUGCCGCGUGAGUGAUGAAGGCCUUAGGGUUGUAAAGCUCUUUUACCCGGGAUGAUAAUGACAGUACCGGGAGAAUAAGCUCCGGCUAACUCCGUG
rnacentral:rRNA from 1 species